ACCCUCUCCCCGCGCAGGCGCACCACAACCCGCCCCCGCAUACGGGCACAAACCGCCACAACAGGCACACCCCCGCGCGCAGGCGCAGCACACCCCUCGCGCAGGCGCACCACGGACACACCCACGCUCGGGUUGGCGCCUGCGGGCUUCGGUACCGGCGUAUCCAUGGCGACCGCGUUGUCUGGGUGGCCUCCAUUGUUGGGCUGCAGCUCUCGGCGGCGUGACUCGCCAGCGCUCCAGUGGGCCGGGGAGCGGCAGGUGACUCCAGAGCAAGGAGGAUGAGCUGCUGUGCCUGGAAGAGAACGGAUGGAGGGAAGCGGCUCCUACACAGUUCCCUCCGUGGCUGCUGCUGAUCUGGAGGAGGGUGCUGGUCAGACUAGGAGCUGGCCUGCCACCCCCUCCAAAGAUGUUCACAAGUGUGUUGGAGGCAUCAUCUUUUCCUCCUCACCGAUUUUAGACUUGAGUGAAAGUGGUCUGUGCCAUUUGGAGGAGGUCUUUAGAAUCCCCAGCCUUCAACAAUUGCAUCUGCAAAGGAACUCCCUGUGUGUGAUUCCUCAAGAUUUCUUUCAGUUGCUGCCGAACCUGACUUGGCUGGACCUCCGGUACAACAGAAUUAAGGUGCUUCCUUCUGGGAUCGGAGCCCACAGGCAUUUGAAAACUCUGCUUUUAGAAAGAAAUCCUAUCAAAAUGUUACCUGUGGAGCUGGGGAGUGUAACCACGCUGAAAGCACUGAACUUAAGACACUGCCCUCUGGAAUUCCCUCCGCAGCUCAUUGUGCAGAAGGGAUUGGUGGCUAUCCAGCACUUCCUGCGGACGUGGGCAGUAGAACACUCUCUCCCCAGAAACCCAGCUUCUCAAGAGGCUCCACCGGUUAAAGAGAUGACCCUCCAUGACCUCCCGAGCCCAAGAUUGGAGUUGUCCGGAGACCACGCGUCUAACGAAGGAGCUGUGAACGCUCAGGGCCCAGAGGGGGCUGUGAUGAAAGAGAAGGCCGGCUUUCUCCCGCCUGUGGAAAAGCCAGACCUGAGUGAGCUCAGGAAGUCUGCUGACUCCUCAGAGCAGUGGCCCAGCGAGGAGGAGAUCAGGCGCUUUUGGAAGCUGAGGCAGGAGAUUGUUGAGCACGUGAAGGCAGACACUCUGGGAAAUCAGCUCUUACCGAGGGAAUUACCUCCAAAUCUCAAGGCGGCCUUGAACAGCGAGAAAGAACUGCCAAAGCCAAGACACGUUUUCAGAAGGAACAUGGCCUCCUCCAGGGACAUCUUACCCGACCUCUUGUCACCGUACCAAAUGGCGAUCCGAGCAAAAAGACUGGAAGAGAGCCGAGCGGCGGCGCUCCGAGAGCUCCGGGAGAAGCAGGCUCUGAUGGAGCAGCAGAGACGAGAGAAAAGGGCACUGCAGGAGUGGAGAGAGCGAGCCCAGAGGAUGAGGAAGAGGAAGGAAGAGCUCAGCAAACUCCUGCCUCCGAGGAGGAGCAUGGUGGCAUCAAAGAUUUCCUCUGCCACAGAUCUGAUAGAUAACGGGAAAGUGCUACUGAAUCCACUUAGAAAAAUGAAACCAAGCAAAAAGAAAUUGCCACGAGCAAGUCAAGAAAUGAGUACCCUCCAGGAGGGAGAUUUAGAAAAGAAGAUAAAACAGCACAUCCACCAAAUGCAUGAGCGAAGAUUCCAUGGCCCAGCCCCGCUGGAGGAGAUGAGGAAGGCUGCCGAGGAUCUGGAAAUUCAUACGCUGAGGCCCACUUCCUGGUACUUGGAGUGUCCUGGGCCAUGGAAGACACACAGGAAUGAAGGAAAGUGCUUUGCUGCCCGAAUUGCUGCAUGGCCAGCCCAGCCAGCUAUAGAAGGACACAGCUGCCCUCCCUGGCAGUGAACCUGGAUACCCGUGUCCCCACCCUUCUUACAGCCAUAAGAACACUGGCCUGUCUUCUCGGGCUACCCAAGGCCCCUGGCUGGUGGCGUCUUUCAGAGCCAGAGAUGGGAGAAACGAGAUGUGAGGGCAGGAUGUGGAGCCACUUCGUGGAGACCCCACCCAGCCUGACCCGGACCCCUCUUCUGAGACUCUUUUCCUCUCAGCCCAGGGAGUUCGUAUCUGCCUUUAGAUAAACUCUUAUUCUCUCUGAAUCUGUCGUUUAUGAGUAUGACCUUGUCCUUGGACACCCAAACCUUGCCUCUUAGGGCUUCAGAACAUCUGUGUCUCAACCCAUCACUUCACGUUAUGGACACAAAAGUCGAUUUGGUAUUAUGAACAACUCUAGCCACAGAUUUGUUACAUUUAGUGAAAUAGAUGAAUCCCUUGAAAGACAACGUCUGCCAAAACUUACAGAAGAAAUAAACAAUUUGA